GCGGAAGUGGCUCAGUGGUAGAGCAUCUCCUUCCCAAGGAGAGGGUCGCGGGUUCGAAUCCCGUCUUCCGCUCCA
rnacentral:tRNA from 1 species